rnacentral:sRNA from 1 species
AACGGAGCAAACUUUUGCUAACUGCCAACCUUUUGUUAUAAUUUAAACUUUGUAUUAAAUAUUAUGAACGCGUGUGGGAUGUGUGUGAUAAUCGGGUGAUAAUCACCCAUCCUUCCACCAUUUGAUAACUUUUUGCACCCCUUUUGUCUUGACAAAUCAUUAAGCAAUUUGCGCGCGGAUUGCGUAUACGCCCCAUAAACCACCGAACCACCCAGAAAACUCUACUACAAUGUUCGGGAAAUAUGCCAGCACGUAAUAAAACUGAAAAGCUCAUGAAGGCCAAUAUCCUACAUCACCCGAUCGGAGACAAAGACAUUGUAAAUUAUAGUGGCGACGGAUACCUGAAACUACACUGAAAAUAAAUUCGGGAUGGUCGUAUUUAUAUAGUUGCUGACAUAACAUUAUGGAUUGCAGGUUUUUAAUAACCAAGCACGAUUCUAAUAAAUCCAUUGCUAAACUAAUAA